AAAUAACAAUGAUUUCCCUAGUAACGGCGAGUGAAGAGGAAAGAGCUCAAAGUUGGAAACUGUUUGGCUUAGCUAAACCGUAUUGUAAACUGUAGAAACAUUUUCCUGGCACACCAGAUUAAUAAGUCCUUUGGAACAAGGCAUCAUGGAGGGUGAGAAUCCCGUCUUUGAUCUGAGUAGUUGUCUUUUGUGAUAUGUUUUCAAAGAGUCAGGUUGUUUGGGAAUGCAGCCUAAAUUGGGUGGUAAAUCUCACCUAAAGCUAAAUAUUUGCGAGAGACCGAUAGCGAACAAGUACCGUGAGGGAAAGAUGAAAAGAACUUUGAAAAGAGAGUUAAACAGUAUGUGAAAUUGUUAAAAGGGAACCGUUUGGAGCCAGACUGGUUUGCCUGUAAUCAACCUAGAAUUCGUUUUGGGUGCACUUGCAGGCUAUACCUGCCAACAACAGUUUGAUUUGGAGGAAAAAAUUAGUAGGAAUGUAGCCUCUCGAGGUGUUAUAGCCUACUAUCAUACUCUGGAUUGGACUGAGGAACGCAGCGAAUGCCUUUAGGCAAGAUUGCUGGGUGCUUUCGCUAAUAAAUGUUAGAAUUUCUGCUUCGGGUGGUGCUAAUGUUUAAAGGAGGAACACA
rnacentral:rRNA from 2 species